UUGGUGCUUUCAGUUAAAGAAACUCUCCCGAAUUGUUAUCGAUUCAAGUACAAAUCGUUAUAAGGUGGAGAUAUUCUUGUGACCUUUCAUAGGAAAAUGGCAAGUGGUGCACCGUCUCUCUUUGCCACUUACAGCUGCUACUUGUCUUGGGGGUUCUAAAGAAACUAUAAAAGUGAAAGACUGGAAUUAGUUAAAUAUCUUUUACCCAACCUCAUGCAUACAUGCAUAAAUGUUUAACUUGCCAAAGACACAUGGCUAAGUUAGGCUAUAUGGCUUGUCUAUACACAUAUGCUUUUGAGUUCAAUCAUAAUUCUGUACUGCUAACCAGUAGAGUAGAAAGAGAGAGAAAAAUCAAACCUGGAGCAACUGGUUGUUCAGUAGGGGGCACAUCUGUGAUGGUCAUUUUUUGUCUCUUUGAAUGCCUUUCCAAGGCCACCUCUCUUGACUCUCUCUCCAUCAUAGAGACCAUUGGCGCUGGUGUCAGCUCCUGUAGUUCAUUUAUUGCUGAAGCCAGCUCAUCUUCACUCGAUUGUAGCAGGAACAUGUACAGUUCAUCUACAUAGUUUGCAAUAAAUUAUUUGGUUGGAUUGAUAAUUGUUUUCAAUUCAAAGGCCUUUAGCUUUUACUAGUUAUGUAUUUUCUUGGUAUUAGAACAUUAAACUCAUCAACGCUAGAUGAGUUGGCGGGCCGGUGCCCAAUGGAGAUUGCCAUGUCACAUCAGAGUAAAACAUAAAUAGAUUCAGAGAUAUAUUGAUAUUGGGAUUUGAUCAUUAUAAAAAUCUAACAAACCUCAGGUACAGAUGUGGUGUUAUCAAAGGGUUCAAUCUCAGUGUCACUUUCAGCAGUGGCUACAGCAGUCUAUAAAAAAGUGUAGCAAAAACAUAUAUAAA